AGUCGCGCCCCGAUCUUCUCGGCCUCCUGUAUCCCGGUCGUGUCCCCGUCCCCGCUGUGGCGGCCGGAUUCCUGACGUUGCGACUGGAUCACACCGCGUCCUGCCCAUCCACUGUCCCACCGUCAACACCUUCCUUUUCCAACGAUGGUGAUGCCGCCCAAGAUGGUGGUUGUGCCCCCGCUCUCUGGACGCAUCAUCACGAUAGAUGUGACCAAAGGGCAGCACGAACAGGAAGCGAAAAGCCUCCUCCUGCAGCAGCGGAGGCGAUUGGGAUGGAGCCGCUGCCACCAUUCCCCCGCCACUCUGUUUUCCCGACAAAUUCCAUGUCAUUUUCAGAGCUUCAAGUGAAUGGAGGUCGAAGGGUGCUUUAGGAAAUUAUUGUGGUGGUCACGGGGACGUCAUGCCAAAGGUAACCGAGUGGAAGUGCGAUUUAUUCAGCUGUAUUAUUAUAUCAAAUGAAAUCCAUAUUAUUAUAAGGACCGGCAAAAAUGAUGGCGCGGCAGAUAGACGAUGGCUGGGUGGAAGGAAUCACGAUUAGAUGACCUACUGCUUUUAAGUGGCGAUGGUAGAAUUUAUGGAGAAAAGACGAUGGACUAUGCACUUAUCUGCAAUCCCUCAUUUUAAUUUAUUCAUGUCAUAGAUAUUCUACUGAUAUGAUAAUCUUCAGGUAGUGGACUUCCAGGAACAAUGUGUAGAUUCUGGAUGUUAAUAUUUUCCUUCUGCUAUUGGUUACUUGUAGUGCUAUUCUUAUUUAACUCAUGUGACCAUAUUAAUAACUUUCUGGUAAAUCUGAUAAAUUUUUGACAAUUUUGGCUAUGUAUUGACCAGCAGUAUGAAUUACUUUGUCUGCCCUUUUUUAGCUUAUUCAACUUACAUAUGGAGAUGAGCAUAAGACUUUUCUUGUGGGUUGUAUCAACUUUCACUUUGUGAUUCUUUGUGUUCUUAUACAGUGUUCACCAUGUCCAAUUAUUGAUAGCUGGAAGACAUAAGUCAGGUGGCUUUUCUUGUUCGGAAUUUACUCUAUGGUCUCAUUAACAUGUUUGCAAGCUCUGUAGUAUACAACUUAUGGUUUUCCCUGCGGAAUUGCUUCCUUUACUUGUGCAAGAGGCAGAGGUGCACUCCUCUACAUGGGAGCAUGUGUACUUCUUCGGGUCACAACAAUUCAUAUGCAUACUAGCUGCAGAAUGGCGAAGCCACCAAGAAUGCAGAAACUAGCUCAUAUGUUGCGAGGAAUCACAGACCUAAUAACACAAUGCUGUCAUGAGAACGGGGCGCUCUCAUGAGGGACAUGGAGGGCCAGGGAGGUGCAAAGAUCCAUGAAACAUGUAUUGCCGUCCUCAGCGAUAUAUCAUCUUUCUAACACUUUCUUGUUCGAGUUAAUCUUUUGGUUUUCUACUGUUCCAGUUGUAUCUCCAUGGAUCUGGAAGUAUUUGUAUUGAUGAAAGGUGUCAAGUAUUCUUGGUAUGUAUCAUUGACAACAACAGUUUUGCACUAUAUGUAAUGAGCUUUCCUAACACCGUUGAGUGAGCUA
rnacentral:rRNA from 1 species